GCUGCUAUAGCUCAGUAGGUAGAGCGUAUCCUUGGUAAGGAUAAGGUCACCGGUUCAAUCCCGGUUAGCAGAUCUCCA
rnacentral:tRNA from 1 species